UUUAUAUGGCUUUGGACAAAAUAAGACAAGUAUUUCCUGAAUCGUUUGACAUUCAGCUGUUACUGAAGAUGUUAAAACUAUAAGCAAGCCUGCUAAUCGUCAGCAACAAAGCAGCUUAAUCCUGGCUGACUGGCGAUUUGUUUGGGAACCUUUGGAGCAACAGAAAGAUUCAAGUUUAUAAAAAGAGGCGACUUCUUGGCAGAUACUGCAUCUUCAGCCAGGAGAAGUUGGCUUAGUACAAAAGGGCUUUUGAAGCGAUUUUCGAGAUUGUUGACUAUUAUGUAACAGAUGGCCCA